rnacentral:ncRNA from 1 species
AUGAGCAGAGGAGAUGAUCCGGAACGAGGGAGCAGCCCUUCCAAACUUGUCCUGAACUUUCAUAAGCACGUUGCCUUUUGAUCCUUCGAUGUCGGCUCUUCCUAUCAUUGCCAAACGUUGAAUUGUUCACCCUCUAAUAGGCAACAUGAUCUGGGUUUAGACCGUCGUGAGACAGGGUAAUUAUACCCUACUGUUGACUAGCUGUUGCGAUAGUAAUCCUGCUUAGUACAAGAGGAACAGCAGGUCCAGACAUUUGGUUCAUGGACUUGGCCAACCGGUCAAUGGUCCGAAGCUACGAUCUGGGAAUUAUGACUGAACACCUCUAAGUCAGAAUCCCACCUAGUCAAGGUAGCGAUAAGGCC